rnacentral:rRNA from 1 species
UACGUAGGGCGCAAGCGUUGUCCGGAAUUAUUGGGCGUAAAGAGCUCGUAGGCGGCCUGUUGCGUCCGCUGUGAAAACCCGGGGCUUAACCCCGGGCUUGCAGUGGAUACGGGCAGGCUGGAGGCAGGCAGGGGAGAACGGAAUUCCCGGUGUAGCGGUGAAAUGCGCAGAUAUCGGGAGGAACACCGGUGGCGAAGGCGGUUCUCUAGUACGGUACUGACGCUGAGACGCGAAAGCGUGGGGAGCGAACAGG